rnacentral:rRNA from 1 species
GACGAACGCUGGCGGCGUGCUUAACACAUGCAAGUCGAACGGAAAGGCCCUGCUCUUGUGGGGUGCUCGAGUGGCGAACGGGUGAGUAACACGUGAGUAACCUGCCCUUGACUUUGGGAUAACUUCAGGAAACUGGGGCUAAUACCGGAUAGGAGCUCCUGCUGCAUGGUGGGGGUUGGAAAGUUUCGGCGGUUGGGGAUGGACUCGCGGCGUAUCAGCUUGUUGGCGGGGUAGUGGCUUACCAAGGCUUUGACGGGUAGCCGGCCUGAGAGGGUGACCGGCCACAUUGGGACUGGGAUACGGGCCAGACUGCUACGGGAGGCAGCAGUGGGGAAUAUUGCACGAUGGGCGGAGGCCUGAUGCAGCAACGCCGCGUGCGGGAUGACGGCCGUCGGGUUGUAAACCGCUUGCGCCUGUGACGAAGCGUGAGUGACGGUAAUGGGUAAAGAAGCACCGGCUAACUACGUG